rnacentral:rRNA from 1 species
CCUACGGGUGGCUGCAGUGAGGAAUAUUGGUCAAUGGGCGGAAGCCUGAACCAGCCAAGUAGCGUGCAGGAUGACGGCCCUACGGGUUGUAAACUGCUUUUAUACGGGAAUAACGCGCCUUACGUGUAGGGCUUUGCAUGUACCGUCUGAAUCAGGACCGGCUAAUUCCGUGCCAGCAGCCGCGGUAAUACGGAGGGUCCGGGCGUUAUCCGGAUUUAUUGGGUUUAAAGGGAGCGUAGGCCGCAUGUCAAGCGUGCUGUGAAAUGUCCGGGCUCAACCCGGGCGUUGCAUCGCGAACAGGCGUGCGUGAGUCCGCGGAAAGCAGGCGGAAUUCGGCGUGUAGCGGGGAUAUGCUUAGAUAUGACGAAGAACCCCGAGUGCGAAGGCAGCUUGCUGCAGCGGAACUGACGGUGAUGCUCGAAAGCGCGGGUAUCGAACAGGAUUAGAUACCCUUGUAGUC